rnacentral:rRNA from 1 species
UGUUGCUUGCAAGGGCGUAUGGUGGAUGCCUUGGCAGACAGGACCGAUGAAGGACGUUUGAGGCUGCGAUAUGCCUCGGGGAGCCGCCAACAGGGCUUUGAUCCGAGGAUUUCCGAAUGGGGGAACCCACCGACCGUCAUGGGUCGGUACCGGCUUCGGCCGGGGGGUACGCAGGGAAGUGAAACAUCUCAGUACCUGCAGGAAAGGAUAUUCCGUGAGUAGUGGCGAGCGAAAGCGGAUGAUGGCCAAACCUUGCGCGUGUGAUACCCGUCGGGGGUUGCGCGCGGGGUGUUGCGGGAUCGCGUGCGCCGGCUCCGACGGGCCGGCCGGCAGUUGCAGAAAACCAUGUGUCAGGGGAACCGGGUUGAAUACCGGGCCGCAGAGGGUGAGGGCCCCGUACCUGAACGCGCAUGGUCUGCCGAUCGCGUCUCCCAAGUAGCACGGGUCCCGUGGAACCCCGUGCGAAUCCGCCCAGACCGUUGGGUAAGCCUGAAUAUUCCUGUCUGACCGAUAGCGAACGAGUACCGUGAGGGAAAGGUGAAAAGUACCCCGGGAGGGGAGUGAAACAGUCUCUGAAACCGUGCGCCUACAAUCCGUCGGAGCCCUUUUGUGGGGUGACGGCGUGCCUAUCGAAAAAUGAGUCUGCGAGUCAGUGGCAUGUGGCGAGCAUAACCCGUGUGGGGUAUGCGUAGCGAAGGCGAGUCUUAAAAGGCGUUUGAGUCGCGUGUCCUGGACCCGAAGCGGGAUGAUCUAGCCCUGAGCAGGUUGAAGCGCGGGUAAGACCGCGUGGAGGACCGAACCCACCUGGGUUGAAAACCGGGGGGAUGACUUGGGGCUAGGGGUGAAAGGCCAAUCAAAUUCCGUGAUAGCUGGUUCUCUCCGAAAUGCAUUUGGGUGCAGCGUCGGGUCAUUACGUCCCGGGGGUAGAGCUACUGGAUGCUUGCGGGCCCGUAUCGGGUACCAACAGCAACCAAACUCCGAAUACCGGUGACGCGUAUCCCGGCAGUGAGUCGGCGGGGGAUAAGCUUCGUCGUCGAAAGGGAAACAGCCCAGACCGUCGUCUAAGGUCCCGAAGCGUGUGCUAAGUGGGAAAGGAUGUGGAGUCGCAUAGACAGCCAGGAGGUUGGCUCAGAAGCAGCCACCCUUGAAAGAGUGCGUAACAGCUCACUGGUCUAGUGGUUCCGCGCCGACAAUGUAGCGGGGCUCAAGCACACCACCGAAGACGCGGCAGUAUUUUGUACUGGGUAGGAGAGCGUCCCAUGAGGGGCGAAGCGGCCGUGUGAACGCGCCGUGGACUUCAUGGGAGUGAGAAUGCAGACAUGAGUAGCGAGAGACGGGUGAAGAUCCCGUCCGCUGGAUGACCAAGGGUUCCAGGGCCACGUUCAUCGUCCCUGGGUGAGUCGGGUCCUAAGGCGAGGCCGACAGGCGUAGUCGAAUGGAUGAACGGGUCGAUAUUCCCGUACCGGCUUUCAGCCGCCAAAACCGAGGCUUGGAGUACUAACCUCCGGGUCCGGGCUUACUGCUCCUUCGGGGGCGGGAUGCCUUGGCCUGUUGGGACCGAUCCUUGUAGUAGGUCAGCGCAGGAGUGACGCAGAAGGGUAGCCGGCCGCGGAGGUGGUCUUCCGUGGUCAAGCACGCAGGGCGUGGGACAGGCAAAUCCGUCCCGCAUGGGUCCGAGGUGCGAUGAUGGGGGCCUUAUGGCCCGAUAUCCGGUGAUCCCGGCUGCCGAGAAAAGCUUCGGCGUCAGGCUCAAAGCCGCCCGUACCCCAAACCGACACUGGUGGUCAGGUAGAGAAUACCAAAGCGAUCGAGCGAAUCCUGGUCAAGGAACUCGGCAAAUCACUCCCGUUCCUUCGGUUUAAGGGAGACCCCCGAUGGUGAACACACUUGCUGUGGGAGCUUUUGGGGGUGGCACAGACCAGGGGGUAGCGACUGUUUACCAAAAACACAGGUGCAUGCGAAGGCGCAAGCCGCUGUAUAUGCACUGACGCCUGCCCGGUGCCGGAAGGUUAAGAGGAUCCGUCAGCCUUCGGGUGAAGCGGUGAAUUCAAGCCCCGGUAAACGGCGGUGGUAACUAUAACCAUCCUAAGGUAGCGAAAUUCCUUGUCGGGUAAGUUCCGACCUGCACGAAUGGCGUAACGACUUCCCCACUGUCUCGACCAGGAGCUCGGCGAAAUUGCAGUACGAGUAAAGAUGCUCGUUAAGCGCAGAAGGACGAAAAGACCCCGGGACCUUUACUAUACCUUGGUAUUGGCAUUCGGUGUGGAUUGUGUAGCAUAGGCGGGAGGCCGAGAGG